CGACAAAGUUCCACGCCCACACGGGAGAGGGGCGUACGGCGCACGCGCAGCGCGGUAAACGCCCUCGCACCCAUCGGUACGGGAGCUUUCGUGGAACCAGGUUAGGGUAGCGGGGCGUGCGGUGUUGGGGAGGGAGGGAGAAGCUAUAGAGAGGGAGGAGUCGGCGGUGUUUGGGAUCGGGGUAAAGGAUGUUAGGUCGCCAGCGAUGGGGAGGAGGUAGGCUGGAGGCGGCAGUCGGCGGCGGCGGCGAUGCCGAAGAGACAGGUGGCUGACGCACGCACGUCCACCGGUCAAAGGAAGGCGGGGCUGGAAGAGGUAACAGAGGGGUCAAGUGGGGGUAGGGAACGACGGGCUCCACGAGUAGAAGGGUCCAGCACUCCUUCGGCGCACUCCUACAGAGGUGCCAUUAGCCCCUUGGUGGUACCGCACGGCGGCCCCCUUCGGAACCUAGGUACGUCCCCCGGAGGGGCCCCCGCGUCUCCUCCCCCACACCUCCGCACUCCGGUCUUCCUCAAACCCUAGCGACCUCCUCGUGUCGGGCGUGCCCCCGACCAAUAGCGGUCUCGUCUCCCCUCCUCCAGCUACGUCCCCUACGGUACAUACCAGCCCCGCGACCUAGGCGGAAAGGGGUACGGUGGCGACAGGAUGCAGUUGCUACGGCGGUACCGGAAGAGAGGUGACUGGAGAAAGGUGCUUAAAAACGGAAGUUGCGAUUCCUCGUCCCUGCCAGACAUCCGAUCGCCAUCGCCCUACCUUAGGGGAACAGGUCAUGGUCGGCCACUUCUACCUUCCUUCGGUGCCCAUGGAGUUCCGAAUCCUUGAAAAACCCUAUUGACUCAACCAGUUACAGUUUUUACCUUUUCCUCUUCCUUUAGUGGUAAGCUAAAUACUAACCCGCAUCCAACCUCCGUAACCGCACUUCCACAGCACUCAAUAGACGUUCCCGUAACAACACUGCACGAGGAGGUAUAGAGGACGCUCAAUAACCACACCGCUAGUACCGAGGUCUAUCGUCGCGAAGUUCCAGUGAAUUCGGACUUACUCAAUAGUUCAGAUGACCUUGAUAAGUACAAAUCCGAACAAGUAACCAAAAGCUUGUCUGUCAGGGAAUUCAUACAAACUAGUGUUAAUUUUCCUCCUUCAGUCUAAUAACGUUACACACCGACGUCCAUUUCAACAGUUCUACUAGACCACGAACGAGCUCGGCAACUAAUGACGACGAAACGAUUCCAAGUUCCAUUGGGGAAAUCGUACUACUGAUGGUCUCACUGGAAGCUACACAUAUCUACCACUACGUAUACCCCUGUCUGUUCUUGAUCGCUUGAAUUAUAGUCUAAGGGAGUUGAUACUUAAGAAAUUAAUAACUUCCGAAGGUAUAAGUAUAGUUAUGUUCCGUCUUAUACUACGUCCACUUACGGAAAUAAAACAAAGAAAUGCUAGAAGAGGAGAUGAAUUACUAUCUACGUCACAUAUCCCAGUAGCUCAGUCAAACUUACGAAAGUACUGUUGGCCAUAUCGUGACUUAGUCCGUUCCACACUUAUUCACACGACUUUACGAACGAAGCAAAUACACAAAUGACGAAUGAAACAGCAUGUUCAAGGUGAAAACUUAGACGGGAGAAAAUCCGUGCACAUAAAGGGUGUUUAUACAACCAUUUACACACGUGAUGUAUCAAAAGUCCGGUUGACCUAAUGCUCUCGGAGGAGGAAGAAGGGGAGGAGUGAUUCCUCCAGUCUAGCUAGAUCGUAGAAAAGGGGAUUAAAUCCCCAGGAGGGUACCGGGGAGGAGAUGAGCCGAGAGGAGACAGGAUAAAGAGGAGAUAGUUUUUAUGCUUUUGAUGGUGCUUUUAUUCACUACGAACGACGAGAAGUGACGAUUUAUAGUACUACUUCAUAUAGUUCACUGUAGCAGGGUCUUCUUCUCUACUCGUAAGUUAUAUGUUUCUUUUUUUAGUCCAGGUUAUAAACGUACUUAUGACUAAGACCGUUGUACAAUUACUAAGUAUUUAUUAGAGGGCAAAGGAGAUUGGAUACAUACAGAAAGAUAUAAUUAAGUAUUUUUACUUAGUCGUGUCAAGUAUAAACUAAAGUUCUAUUUCUUUAAACUUUCUACAUAUUCUCCACUUAGUUUACUGUAAUAAAGUUUCAACAUGUUGUAUAUAGUAGUGAUGAUCUUUUGUAAAACAUCCUCCCACGUAAAUUAGAAGACAUGAUUUAAGAAGUAACGGAAGGGUACUAACAACCUCAUGUUAAGAGUGUCCUCCAGGGCAAUUACAAUAUAAAUCUCCCACAGUUCAAAUCUGGUAGCACGGAUGCCAUUGUAAAGUAUUUUAGGUGCGAUUAGAAUACACCCCAAGUUCAGCCUAUAGAUCCCAUCAAGAUAAUUAAGGACUUACCAACGAGCCCAUCAUUACUUAAAUAAAUAAAUAAAAAGAAGAAGAUCGACAACAGUUUAUGAAUUCGUAAAGGGAAAGUAUGAUAAAAUCUAAAUUUUACUCUCAACGGUAAGAGGUUGUUCAUAUCAGAACCCAAUCAACAACUGUCGAGUUCACAUCACAUGUAGUCAAUGUGUACUUAUCUAACGAAAAAUCACAUGACGUGGUAAAUUUACCUUUUGAAUAAUGUGAUUACAGUAAGAGGUCAUUCGUAUCAACCUACAUGUAGUCAAUUUGAAGAAGAUUUACAACAAUUUACGAGUUCAUGAAAGGAAAGUAUAAUAGUCAAUGUGGACUGUCCAACGAACUCUUCCACGUCAUGUGAUGUAGUGAUUUGAGAUGUCAUUACCUAACGACCUCUUCCCACGUCAUGUGACUACGGUAUGAUACAAUGUGACCACGGUAAAGGCUCGAUCUAGUUUCGGUAAUAAUAAGGAGUCUACCGCGUUACCUUAUACCGGUAAAUAUAAAGAAUAAACAAUUGUCACAACACAUGAUAUCUACUUAAUAAUUAAUUUGGACUUACAGCGGCUGAGCUGUCCUGUCACCAUCGCUGGACAAAUUGUGGUCCACAACGUCCAUGAGAGACUAACGUUUCCUACAAAUCUUAGUCUUGUUUUGAUCCAUAACACAGAACACCGUACGACUCUGAAAGUUCUUUCUCCAGGAAUAGUCUCUUCGUAAGAGAAGAAUGUUGACUACAUACUAUACUAAAUCAGGUUAGGAAUAAAGAGACCCCGUAGUUGUUACAUUCGGACAAGCUAAGUAAUGGUAUACAAAAGGAGACUCUACGAAGGCAGACGAUCUAUUGUAAAAAACCAGUACAACGUAGUGUACUGAGCUCGUUCAUUGUGAACAAAGGAUGAAAAUUGAGGCAUGAUUACGGAAGAACCAAUAGAAAAUACAACUUUGACGCAUUACGUCAUUCGUUAUGGGUACCGUUCAGAGAGACAAUACCUUCCAGGUGGUUGGUAUCGCAGUUGAGAAUCUAAGAAAGUGUACCGUACUUAAGAAAAGAUGUUUCACCUAGGACAAAAAGAAAUCCACUGUUACGUACGACCAAGAAAAGUGAACCUCUUUCUAAUUGAGACCUUCCGUCAUAAAAGAAACCUAAGAAAGUGAGAGGAAAAGUACCGCGGUGAUAACUGUAAGUCAAAGACUUCGUUCAGUAAGGGAU
rnacentral:rRNA from 1 species